CAUGUAGGUGGGCUUUUAAGUCCGAUGUGAAAAUGCGGGGCUCAACCCCGUAUGGCAUUGGAUACUGGAAGUCUUGAGUGCAGGAGAGGAAAGGGGAAUUCCCAGUGUAGCGGUGAAAUGCGUAGAUAUUGGGAGGAACACCAGUGGCGAAGGCGCCUUUCUGGACUGUGUCUGACACUGAGAUGCGAAAGCUAGGGUAGCAAAC
rnacentral:rRNA from 1 species